CCUACGGGAGGCAGCAGUGAGGAAUAUUGGUCAAUGGCCGCAGGGCUGAACCAGCCAAGUCGCGUGAGGGAAGACGGUACUACGGAUCGUAAACCUCUUUUGUCAGGGAGCAAAGGGCGCCACGAGUGGCGGGUUGAGAGUACCUGAAGAAAAAGCAUCGGCUAACUCCGUGCCAGCAGCCGCGGUAAUACGGAGGAUGCGAGCGUUAUCCGGAUUUAUUGGGUUUAAAGGGUGCGCAGGCGGAAUGUCAAGUCAGAGGUAAAAGUUCGGGGCUCAACCCCGUCGUGCCGUUGAAACUGGCGUGCUUGAGUGAGCGAGAAGUAUGCGGAAUGCGUGGUGUAGCGGUGAAAUGCUUAGAUAUCGCGCAGAACUCCGAUUGCGAAGGCAGCAUACCGGCGCUAAACUGACGCUGAGGCACGAAAGCGUGGGUAUCGAACAGGAUUAGAUACCCGGGUAGUC
rnacentral:rRNA from 1 species